rnacentral:rRNA from 1 species
GUGGGGAAUCUUCCGCAAUGGACGAAAGUCUGACGGAGCAACGCCGCGUGAGUGAAGAAGGUUUUCGGAUCGUAAAGCUCUUUCGUUAGGGACGAACGUGCUCUUUGUGAAUAAUGAGGAGUAAUGACGGUACCUAAAUAAGAAGCCACGGCUAACUACGUGCCAGCAGCCGCGGUAAUACGUAGGUGGCAAGCGUUGUCCGGAAUUAUUGGGCGUAAAGCGCGCGCAGGCGGGAUAUCAAGUCUGUCUUAAAAGUGCGAGGCUCAACCUCGUGAGGGGACAGAAACUGGUAUUCUUGAGUGUCGGAGAGGAAAGUGGAAUUCCAAGUGUAGCGGUGAAAUGCGUAGAGAUUUGGGAGAACACCAGUGGCGAAGGCGACUUUCUGGACGAUGUCUGACGCUGAGGCGCGAAAGCUAGGGGAGCGAACGGGAUUAGAAACCCUAGUAUCC